UACGUAGGGGGCUAGCGUUGUCCGGAAUCACUGGGCGUAAAGCGCACGUAGGCGGCUUCUUAAGUCAGGGGUGAAAUCCUGGAGCUCAACUCCAGAACUGCCUUUGAUACUGAGAAGCUUGAGUCCGGGAGAGGUGAGUGGAACUGCGAGUGUAGAGGUGAAAUUCGUAGAUAUUCGCAAGAACACCAGUGGCGAAGGCGGCUCACUGGCCCGGUACUGACGCUGAGGUGCGAAAGCGUGGGGAGCGAACAGG
rnacentral:rRNA from 1 species